AGGUCAGCCCCUGCAAGCAUUUCAGCAGGGCGGCCGUGGACGGGAAGAAGGUGAUCGACAAGGGGUCGCACUUCGUCGUGGUCGGUGAUGAUCACGACGAGUUCGAGUUGAGCUUCAUGGCUUGAGAGUUGAGAGAAAUCUAAUCUGCUGCUGCUUCGAUCGGUAGAUGAGGCGUUGAGUUAUGUCGAUCUACAAGUGUAAUCACCCUUGCUUCUUCGAAUGAAGGACGGACCCCUGUCUAACUUAUCUGAACGAGAG
rnacentral:lncRNA from 1 species